ensembl:lncRNA
UUGUAUUCUUCACACAACUCUGCCCGGCUCUGCAGUAUAGUCAAUGUUGACAGAAUCGGAGUGUUUCCCCAACAAUUAGGCUAUUUUUAAUGACAGUAUGUGGGCAAAAAUUGACUUCGUCGAAUCGAUUUACAUAUAAGUUUGUAUUUUAAAAUUAGCGUUUUGUGUGGAUUCCGCGGGUGAUUGGGAAGUAUACUGUCAAUAAAAUGGUUAUUUUUUCCAGGAAUUCCAGAAGCGUCUGAUUUUUUAUUUUUUAAAAGAGUAAUUUGUAUGAUUUACACUAUACAAAAACUAUACAGAGUACUUCACAACAUGUUACAACGCAUUCACGCUCAGUAGAUAGUGCGUCGCCCCAAUUAUUUUGUCUUACUGUCGUGUAGCGCCCACUUACACCCAGCCGCUUUGUUUGACAUUACACCUCUCUUCACUUGUCUAUUAGGAUUGAAGGAGUAUAGAAUUCUUAACAAUAUUGCGCAAACGAAAAAUACCAAAAUAAAUUGGGAUAAACUCUAAAUACAAUUAGAAAAAAUACAGGUAUCAUUCUCGAGCAUUGGAGGAAUACGCAGGCAGAUAUGUAUGUGGAAAGCAACGCUGAGUAGGCCAUUGGUCUCCUGUACAGUGGCAGGGCCUUGAGGGAAGUAUGAACAGGAGCAAAAUACAGAUAUGUUCUUGAAGAAAAGUCCUGAUGCAGAGCACACAGGACCUCAGACUGAGGCAAACAUGAAUCUUUCAGCACGACAACGACCCAAAGCACGCAGCCAAGACUACUCUGGAGAGGCUUCAGGAAAAGUCUUUGAAUGUCCUUGAGUUGCUCAGCCAAAGCCCAGAACUGAAACCCAUUGAACAUCUGUAGGGAGACCUGGAGGUUGCAUUUUACUGAUGCUCCCCAUUCAGUCUGACAGAGAAAUAAUAGGGUAAUAUGUAUUUUCAUUAAAUUGGCACACAUUUCUAAUAAUGUUUUUUGCGAAACUUUGUCAGAACACCAUGUCGUACAGUAAUGAUGGACUGUCUUUUCUUAUUCAAGCUGUUCUUGCCAUGAUAUGGACUACUACAGUACAAACAUAAUGAUGUUUUUCUGUAUACCAAUCCUAACGCAUUAAGAAGGGAAAAAAAUCCCAGAUUAACUUUUAACAAUGCAUACCUGUCAACUGAAUUACAUUCCAGUUGACUGCUUCAUGAAGCUGGUUGAGAAAAUGUCAAGACUAUGCAAAUCUGUCAUAAAGGUAAAAGGUGGCUACUUUGAAGAUUUUUUUUAACACUUUUUUUGGGUUACUACAUUUCUUGUGUUAUUCCAUAUUUGUGAUGUAUUCCCUCUUACAGUCUGGAAAAUAAAGAAAUAUGAAUAGCUAUGAGUAGCUCUGUCCAAACGUUUGACUGGUACUGUAUAUAUAUUUUUAUUAUGAUAAUUUGCUGUCUGUUUUUUGGGAACCAGGCACAUUCAUAACAAAUAAUAAAA